UACGGAAGGCAGCAGGGGGAAUAUUGCACAAUGGGCGAAAGCCUGAUGCAGCUAUGCCGCGUGUAUGAAGAAGGCCUUAGGGUUGUAAAGUACUUUCAUCGGGGAGGAAAAAACAAAACUAAUAAUUUUAUUUCUUGACGUUACCCGAAAAAGAAGCACCGGCUAACUCCGUGCCAGCAGCCGCGGUAAUACGGAGGGUGCUAGCGUUAAUCAGAAUUACUGGGCGUAAAGAGCACGUAGGUGGUUUUUUUAAGUCAGAUGUGAAAUCCCUGGGCUUAACCUAGGAACUGCAUUUUGAAACUGAAAUACUAGAGUAUCGUAGAGGGAGGUAGAAUUCUAGGUGUAGCGGUGAAAUGCGUAGAUAUCUGGAGGAAUACCUGUGGCGAAAGCGGCCUCCUAAACGAAUACUGACACUGAGGGUGCGAAAGCGUGGGGAGCAAACAGGGAUUAGAU
rnacentral:rRNA from 1 species